rnacentral:tRNA from 1 species
GGGGUUGUGGCUCAGUGGUAGAGUGCUUGCCUCAGAUGUGUGAGGCACUGGGUUUGAUUCUCAGCACCUUA